CCCCGUGAACCUUCACUACAGCUUAGCGCUGGGGUUGGGCGGACGCUGUGUAGGAUAGGUGGGAGGCUGAGAGCCGGGGACGCCAGUUUCCGGGGAGCCGUCCUUGAAAUACCACCCUGCGUCCGUCUGGCUCCUAACACGCGUGUUGCGUGGACACCGCUUGGCGGGUAGUUUGACUGGGGUGGUCGCCUCCAAAAGGGUAACGGAGGCUUCCAAAGGUCCCCUCAGCACGGUUGGCAACCGUGCGUCGAGUGCAAUGGCAGAAGGGGGCUUGACUGCGAGGCAGACAAGCCGGACAGGUGCGAAAGCAGGGCAUAGUGAUCCGGCGGUACCGCAUGGAAGGGCCGUCGCUCAAAGGAUAAAAGGUACUCCGGGGAUAACAGGCUGAUCACUCCCAAGAGCUCAUAUCGACGGAGUGGUUUGGCACCUCGAUGUCGGCUCGUCACAUCCUGGGGCUGGAGAAGGUCCCAAGGGUUCGGCUGUUCGCCGAUUAAAGUGGCACGCGAGCUGGGUUCAGAACGUCGCGAGACAGUUCGGUCCCUAUCUGUUGUGGGCGUUUGGAAGCUUGAGGGGACCUGACCUUAGUACGAGAGGACCGAGUUGGACGAACCUCCGGUGAACGGGUUGUGGCGCCAGCCGCACUGCCCGGUAGCUGCGUUCGGAUGAGAUAAGCGCUGAAAGCAUCUAAGUGCGAAACUCACCUCAAGAUGAGGCCUCUCAGAGGGCCGUGGUAGACGACCACGUCGAUAGGCCGCAGGUGGAAGCGCGGUGACGCGUUGAGCCGAGCGGCACUAAUUGCCCGAGGGCUUGCGCGC
rnacentral:ncRNA from 1 species